UUAGAAGCAGGGAGCUCUCUUCUUCUUCCCCUGGAUCCUUCCUUUAAAAUAGUUUCUUUUGUCUUAAGUUUUCAUUUCUACGUUUGUCCCUUCAUUCAGUCUCUUAAAUGACGGUCUCAAGCAGUAACAGUAGUAAUUGCUGUAAUGACGGUCUCAAGUAGUAACCAGGGCACUCUGCCACAAGUGGCACCUGAACAGGGACUAACAGGGACUAUCAAGAACAAACGGAGACCUGAAGAGACCUGAAGGGAACUGAAGAGGUCUGCAGGGACAAAUAGAGAUAAGUAGGGAUAAAUAGAGAUAAAUAGAGACAAAUAGAGAUAGGUAAGGAAUGACAGGGACUUGCAGGAAGUAACAGGGACCAUAGGGACAGAUAGGGAUAGAUAAAGACUAGCAAAGACUAGCCGAGAUUAGCAAAGACCAGCAAGGACUAGCAGAGACUAGCAAAGACUAGCAGAAACUUGCAGGGACAGGCAGAGACAGAUAGGGACAGAUAGGGUCCUACAGGGACUUGAACGAGGAAGAUCUGCUGGAAAAGAAAAGAACUACAACCAACCAGAUGAACAAGAAACCCUGUUACAAGUCUGCUGGCAGCAACAUAAGGAUGAUGCCCAUUCUAUUUCCUAGGAAGGGAUAAGUUUUAAGGCCUUAUAAAAAGUGACACAAAGUGAACCGGGUUCUAUAAAUUACCAUGGAAAGUGGUGAGCCAACGAUUUGGCAGAACAAAACCCUGAGGAUAUGCAAACAAAAGGGACUAUGGAAUUUGCAAUUGCAGAUUAAAAUUGAAGAAGAAAACAUUUGAGUUGCAAAUACCGUAUUAAAAGUGGACACUGCUUAUGACUGCUGUAUGCAACAGUUUUUCAGGCCCGAGGUGAUAAAUAAAAAAUUG
rnacentral:lncRNA from 10 species